rfam:Homo sapiens chromosome 16, GRCh38 reference primary assembly.
GCCGGGCGUGGUGGCGCACACCUGUAUUCCCAGCUACUUGGGAGGCUGAGGCAGGAGAAUUGCUUGAACCCAGGAGGCAGAGGUUGCAGUGAGCCGAGAUCGCGCCACUGCACUCCCGCCUGGGCGACAGAGUGAGACUCCGUCUCGG